GCACCAAUAGCCCAGGUUGUGAAUUGGCACUUGUGUCGAAUUGUGGGAUGCUGGCCAGUCUGUCCAACUUGUGGACCAAGUCCCCUGGAAUGGGGCAGCACAGAGGGUGAGACUCCCGUACGUCUGCAGGUGUGAAAACUGGCCGAAGAGUCGAGUUGUUUGGGAUUGCAGCUCUAAGUGGGUGGUAAAUUCCAUCCAAGGCUAAAUACUGGUGAGAGACCGAUAGCAUACAAGUACCGUGAGGGAAAGAUGCAAAGUCGCGCGAGAGCGCUGUCAAAGAGUACCUGAAAUUGCUGAAAAGGAAGCGAAGGAAACCAGUGCAAGCCAUCCUGCACUUCCCCAACUGCUUGCAGCUGGGGCGC
rnacentral:rRNA from 1 species